rnacentral:rRNA from 1 species
CCCAGACUCCUACGGGAGGCAGCAGUGAGGAAUAUUGGUCAAUGGGCGGGAGCCUGAACCAGCCAAGCCGCGUGAAGGAAGAAGGCGCCAGGCGUCGUAAACUUCUUUUGUCGGGGAACAAAGGGCGCCACGCGUGGCGUUGUGAGUGUACCCGAAGAAAAAGCAUCGGCUAACUCCGUGCCAGCAGCCGCGGUAAUACGGAAGGUCCGGGCGUUAUCCGGAUUUAUCGGGUUUAAAGGGAGCGUAGGCCGGCUUUUAAGUCAGCUGUGAAAGUCCGCGGCUCAACCGUGGAAUUGCAGUUGAAACUGGAGGCCUUGAGUGCACACAGGGAUGCCGGAAUUCAUGGUGUAGCGGUGAAAUGCUUAGAUAUCAUGAAGAACUCCGAUCGCGAAGGCAAGUGUCCGGGGUGCAACUGACGCUGAGGCUCGAAAGUGCGGGUAUCAAACAGGAUUAGAUACCCGCGUACA